rnacentral:misc_RNA from 1 species
ACCCUUGUGGAGGAGGACGCCGAAGGUGGGGCUAAUGACUGGGGUGAAGUCGUAACAAGGUAGCCGUACCGGAAGGUGCGGCUGGAUCACCUCCUAACAGGGAGACAACAAAAUGUUUAAUAUUAUUAUUUUGUCACCUUAGGUCGAUCGGUAUCUCACGUUCUUAAUUUAUUAAGAAUUUCAUUUCCUAAGUUUUUCUAGGUCACACCCAUUAUUUUCCUGGGCCAUUAGCUCAGGUGGUUAGAGCGCACCCCUGAUAAGGGUGAGGUCCCUGGUUCAAGUCCAGGAUGGCCCAUAUCUCUAUGUUGGGGGUAUAGCUCAGUUGGUAGAGCGCCUGCUUUGCAAGCAGGAUGUCAGCGGUUCGAGUCCGCUUACCUCCACUGAUUACCACCUCUUCCAUAAUCUGUAGAAAGGAAAAUUUUUUGAGUUGUGAUCAUUAUUCUGAACGAAUCUAGCUUCCUAAUGAAAUUAUUAAGAUGCUGGACUCAUUGAAUUAAUUUCAUUGUUUUCAGAGAACCUUGACAACUGCAUAGAUUAUUUUAAAGACAAUAAGCAUCUUUAAUGAUGCAGAUUUAUUAUUUUUGCAAAUGCAUUAAUAACAAUUCUAUUAAGCUGAUGCUUCAAUUAUGAAGUUAUUGGUCAAGCUACAAAGGGCUCACGGAGGAUACCUAGGCACACAGAGGCGAU